rnacentral:sRNA from 1 species
UACGGGUCCACUCCCGGAUAUUCCGGAGCC